UACGGAGGGAGCUAGCGUUGUUCGGAAUUACUGGCGUAAAGCGCACGUAGGCGGCUUUGUAAGUUAGAGGUGAAAGCCCGGGGCUCAACUCCGGAACUGCCUUUAAGACUGCAUCGCUUGAAUCCGGGAGAGGUGAGUGGAAUUCCGAGUGUAGAGGUGAAAUUCGUAGAUAUUCGGAAGAACACCAGUGGCGAAGGCGGCUCACUGGACCGGUACUGACGCUGAUGCGCGAAAGCGUGGGGAGCAAACAGG
rnacentral:rRNA from 1 species